AGCUAGAGGGAGGAACAGCUUCCUGGGUUGUAGGUUUGUAGCUAGGGGGAGGAACAGCUUCCUGGGUUGUAGGUGUGUAGCUACGGGUAGGAACAGCUUCCUGAGUUGUAGGUUUGUAGCUACGGGGAGGAACAGCUUCCUGAGUUGUAGGUUUGUAGCUACAGGGAGGAACAGCUUCCUGAGUUGUCGGUUUGUAGCUUGGGGGAGGAACAGCUUCCUGAGUUGUCGGUUUGUAGCUACGGGGAGGAACAACUUCCUGAGUUGUAGCUACGGGGAGGAACAGCUUCCUGAGUUGUAGGUUUGUAGCUACGGGGAGGAACAGCUUCCUGAGUUGUCGGUUUGUAGCUACGGGGAGGAACAGCUUCCUGAGUUGUCGGUUUGUAGCUACGGGGAGGAACAGCUUCCUGAGUUGUCGGUUUGUAGCUACGGGGAGGAACAGCUUCCUGGGUUGUCGGUUUGUAGCUUGGGGGAGGAACAGCUUCCUGAGUUGUAGGUUUGUAGCUACGGGGAGGAACAGCUUCCUGAGUUGUAGGUUUGUAGCUACGGGGAGGAACAGCUUCCUGGGUUGUCGGUUUGUAGCUACGGGGAGGAUUCACACAGACAGAAAAUACAGACGGACAGACUCUCUCUCCCAUGCUGAUUGGCUGGGGUCACUAGGUAAAACAGCCCUCUGCUGAUUGGCUGGGGUCACUAGGUAAAACAGCCCUCUGCUGAUUGACUGGGUGUCACUAGGUAAAACAGCCCUCUGCUGAUUGGCUGGAGUCAAUAGUUUAAAGAGCCCUCUGCUGAUUGGCUGGGUGUCACUAGGUAAAACAGCCCUCUGCUGAUUGACUGGGUGUCACUAGGUAAAACAGCCCUCUGCUGAUUGACUGGGUGUCACUAGGUAAAACAGCCCUCUGCUGAUUGGCUGGGUGUCACUAGGUAAAACAGCCCUCUGCUGAUUGGCUGGAGUCACUAGGUUAAAGAGCCCUCUGCUGAUUGGCUGGGUGUCACUAGGUAAAACAGCCCUCUGCUGAUUGGCUGGAGUCACUAGGUUAAAGAGCCCUCUGCUGAUUGGCUGGGGUCACUAGGUUAAAGAGCCCUCUGCUGGUUGGCUGGGGUCACUAGGUUAAAGAGCCCUCUGAUUGGCUGGGGUCACUAGGUUAAAGAGCCCUCUGCUGAUUGGCUGGGUGUCACUAGGUUAAAGAGCCCUCUGCUGAUUGGCUGGGGUCACUAGGUUAAAGAGCCCUCUGCUGAUUGACUGGGUGUCACUAGGUAAAACAGCCCUCUGCUGAUUGGCUGGGGUCACUAGGUUAAAGAGCCCUCUGAUUGGCUGGGGUCACUAGGUUAAAGAGCCCUCUGCUGAUUGACUGGGUGUCACUAGGUAAAACAGCCCUCUGCUGAUUGGCUGGGGUCACUAGGUUAAAGGGCCCUCUGCUGAUUGGCUGGGGUCACUAGGUUAAAGAGCCCUCUGCUGAUUGGCUGGGGUCACUAGGUUAAAGAGCCCUCUGAUUGGCUGGGGUCACUAGGUUAAAGAGCCCUCUGAUUGGCUGGGGUCACUAGGUUAAAGAGCCCUCUGAUUGGCUGGGGUCACUAGGUUAAAGAGCCCUCUGAUUGGCUGGGGUCACUAGGUUGAUAACCCAUGAGGAAAAUAUCAACCUAUGUUUUGAUAUGCAAAUAUAUUAUAAUACAGAGUGCUGAAUGUUUAGUUAUUUUAUGCAGUUUGCUUUAGUUAAUUAUCAUAGUUCUGGUUUGAAAGGUGUAAUUGGAGUACACACACACACACACACACACACACACACACACACACACACACACACACACCGUGUACAUUUAUAAACUGUGCACACAUCUGUG